UACGUAGGGGUCGAGCGUUGUCCGGAGUUACUGGGCGUAAAGCGUGCGCAGGCGGCUCUCUGCGCCCGGCGUGAAAGCCCCCGGCUCAACCGGGGAGGGUCGUCGGGGACGGGAGAGCUUGAGGGUAUCAGGGGCUGGUGGAAUUCCCGGUGUAGUGGUGAAAUGCGUAGAGAUCGGGAGGAACAUCAGUGGCGAAGGCGGCCAUCUGGGACAACACUGACGCUCAGGCACGAAAGCGUGGGGAGCAAACAGG
rnacentral:rRNA from 1 species